UACAGAGGUCUCAAGCGUUGUUCGGAUUCAUUGGGCGUAAAGGGCGCGUAGGCGGCGGGGUAAGUCUGGUGUGAAAUCUCGGAGCUCAACUCCGAAAUUGCAUUCGAUACUGCCGUGCUUGAGGACUGGAGAGGAGACUGGAAUUUACGGUGUAGCGGUGAAAUGCGUAGAUAUCGUAAGGAAGACCAGUGGCGAAGGCGGGUCUCUGGACAGUUCCUGACGCUGAGGCACGAAGGCCAGGGGAGCAAACAGG
rnacentral:rRNA from 1 species